UAGGGCAGGCCAAGUUCGCCAACCCUAGCAACAAGGAAGGGAAGCUCUCAGUUGCCUUCUCCUCUCCGACGCCAUUUGCCAACAACUACAACGCAGUGACGGACUCUAACUACUGGGUGCUGGACACCGACUACAACUCCUACGCUGUCGUCUGAAGCUGCACCAACUUCCUCAACUUAUUAAGUUAUCAGUUUAUGUGGGUGCUCACGCGCGACCGGCAGCCGUCAGAGGAGCUGGUGAAGAAAACUCUCACCAUCAUCAGGAACAAAGGCUUGGACCCAACACCUCUCUUGACCACCGAACAGAAUAACUGCAAAUAGUGAUGGCGCACCGGAACUGUAGGGAAUAGCAACCAACUUCAUCACUACUAGCAUCAGUAACUGUAAGCAGUGACGCGACGAAACUGAAGGAAGUAACGACUUAUCGCGUUGUUGUACCGUAGUAUCAUAGGAAGCAUAAAGCUGAGAUACACAUUGACGUGACCGCGACGCGUAGUUGUUUUCCUAAGUAACGGCUCUUCUUGUGUUGGCCUCUAACUGAAAUAAAUG
rnacentral:lncRNA from 1 species